ACAGCAGCCGCCGCGGGAAAACGUAGGGUGCAAGCGUUAAUCGGAAUUACUGGGCGUAAAGCGUGCGCAGGCGGUUAUAUAAGACAGAUGUGAAAUCCCCGGGCUCAACCUGGGAACUGCAUUUGUGACUGUAUAGCUAGAGUACGGCAGAGGGGGAUGGAAUUCCGCGUGUAGCAGUGAAAUGCGUAGAUAUGCGGAGGAACACCGAUGGCGAAGGCAAUCCCCUGGGCCUGUACUGACGCUCAUGCACGAAAGCGUGGGGAGCAAACAGGAUUAGAUACCCCAGUAGUCCCUGUCUCUUAUAC
rnacentral:rRNA from 1 species